AAGACAUCAUGGAUCUACAUUUUUUCAAAAUGAGGACUGCUCAACUCCUCAUUCAAGAUCAGAAUCAACCAAACUUCGACUCAGAAUCAGAUUCAGAUGAGGAACCUCCUGCGAAAAGACAAGCUGGAAGACCUGGAAAAGUUUCUCUUCCUCUGCCAGAGGUGAGGAGUCAAGGAGCCCUUCAUCUUCCACAGGCAAUGGAUGUAAAAGAUGCACAACGGUGUCGCAAUCCAGGUUGUAAAACAGGCAAAUCACGGAUCAAAUGCUCACAAUGCAAUGUGUAUCUAUGUGUUUUAAAUUACAGGAAUUGUUUUUAUGAUUUUCAUAAGUAGGAUUAAGAAAAGAACUAGAUGUUGGAUUAGAGGAUUAGGAUUAAAGGACAUUUUAUUCACUGUAAUGAAUUAUUAUGUUACUAUUCUUAUGUUCGAUUUUGUGCUCUAUUAGUUUUGUUCAUUAACUCCUUAAACUAUGAAAGAGCAAUUUAAAUUCUAUUAAGUUUAACCUUAUUGCAUUCAAAUAAAUUCUAGUGUAUUCAGUUCUCUGCAAAUUAAGAUUAUUUAGUAUAGGUUCAAGUUCAGGACAUUUUAUUAAUGUAAUUUUUUUAUUUUCUUACUAUUUUUAUGUUUAGUUUUGUGCUCAAUCAGUUAAGUUCAUUAAUUCCUCAAUCUAUGGAGAACAAUUUGAAUUAUAGUAAGUUAAUGAAGAUUCAAAUAAAUUCUUAUGUAUUCAGAUUUUUUGAAAAUUAAGAUUAGCCUAUUCAGUACAGUAUAGGUUCAAGUGGCUCUAGUAUAGAGACCCAAUGUCCACAAAUGUUGACAAAUUU